rnacentral:rRNA from 1 species
GACGAACGCUGGCGGCGUGCUUAACACAUGCAAGUCGAACGGAAAGGCCUCUUUCGGGGGGUACUCGAGUGGCGAACGGGUGAGUAACACGUGAGUAACCUGCCCUUGACUUUGGGAUAACUUCAGGAAACUGGGGCUAAUACCGGAUAGGAGCUCCUGCUGCAUGGUGGGGGUUGGAAAGUUUCGGCGGUUGGGGAUGGACUCGCGGCUUAUCAGCUUGUUGGUGGGUAGUGGCUUACCAAGGCUUUGACGGGUAGCCGGCCUGAGAGGGUGACCGGCCACAUUGGGACUGAGAUACGGCCCAGACUCCUACGGGAGGCAGCAGUGGGGAAUAUUGCACAAUGGGUGGAAGCCUGAUGCAGCAACGCCGUGUGCGGGAGGACGGCCUUCGGGUUGGAAACCGCUUUCGCUCAUGACGAAGCUUUGUGUGACGGUAGUGGGUAAAGAAGCACCGGCUAACUACGUG